UUGCUACUGGACCUAGCGGCGGACGGGUGAGUAAUACUUAGGAAUCUGCCUAUUAGUGGGGGACAACGUUCCGAAAGGAGCGCUAAUACCGCAUACGCCCUACGGGGGAAAGCAGGGGAUCUUCGGACCUUGCGCUAAUAGAUGAGCCUAAGUCGGAUUAGCUAGUUGGUGGGGUAAAGGCCUACCAAGGCGACGAUCUGUAGCGGGUUUGAGAGGAUGAUCCGCCACACUGGGACUGAGACACGGCCCAGACUCCUACGGGAGGCAGCAGUGGGGAAUAUUGGACAAUGGGCGCAAGCCUGAUCCAGCCAUGCCGCGUGUGUGAAGAAGGCCUUAUGGUUGUAAAGCACUUUAAGCGAGGAGGAGGCUUACCUAGCUAAUACCUAGGAUAAGUGGACGUUACUCGCAGAAUAAGCACCGGCUAACUCUGUGCCAGCAGCCGCGGUAAUACAGAGGGUGCAAGCGUUAAUCGGAAUUACUGGGCGUAAAGCGCGCGUAGGUGGCCAUUUAAGUCAAAUGUGAAAUCCCCGAGCUUAACUUGGGAAUUGCAUUCGAUACUGGAUGGCUAGAGUAUAGGAGAGGAAGGUAGAAUUCCAGGUGUAGC
rnacentral:rRNA from 1 species